UGCCUCCCAAGUUACAGAGGAUAACUUGUAAGAAUAAAUUCUCUGUUUCUGUCUUUGGGUCCCAGAGAGAUUUCUCAGAGAGAAUUGUCCCAAAUCACAGAAGAAAAGCAUCCUUUUCCAGAUGAUGGGGCCCUGGGAGGUUUUGAAGCAGAAAGUCCAAGCAGCAUGGGAAUGGCUCAUACAAAGGCAUGUAGCUGUAUUGGCCUCAUGGCCAUCUUGUCACGCUGGUAGGAAUUCACACAAGAAGGAUCACAAUAGCUAGAGAAGGACCAGUAAGCAGUCAGUGCUUACUAAGAGAUCUUGCCUCUGAAAUAUCCACUACCACACUGCUAUUAGCAUCUAAAUCUUUGGGAGAACAUUCACCCUAUUAUAUUCAGCUUACCAGUCAGAAGCAUCUUCUUAAUUGCUUUCUGUUUUGUGGGCCAAGUAACCGAAGUAAAAGUCAUUUCAACUUGCUGAAUGCCAACCAGCUUGUGUAUGUAGACACCAAUGAUUGGCCAGAUGGGAAACUGACAGAUGAUUUGGUAUGUUCUUGAGGCAAACUGAGAGAGGCAUGAGGCCAGGCCUUGAACAUGGAUGAAUGGUUGUCCAGGUAACUCCCAGGAGACACUAAUCAGGAAUGUGUUUUCCCUGACCCAGGGUUAUGCACCUUCUGCUCCCCACACCAAAACACUCUAUACCUCUAGAGGCCAACUUGGUAGGCCAUCCGCUAUCCAUUGAACUAAGAGAUUCUUUGCCCAAUGGCACUGCACUCUCUGAAGGUGCACUGCCUGUGAUAAAACUGGUUCCUACAUGGCCCCUGAACACACUGCACAUCUUCUGGACAAUGUGGUCAAGUCCGGAUGUGUCAGGAGCUCUGCACACUCUCAUAAGCAAGGCAGCUCAGGCAGGGUCUCAUGUGCUCUCCUUCCAGUCUUCUUCUGUCUGACAAGAAUUACUGCAGGAGAUUGAGCCAGAGGUCUUCUGCAAUGACCUGAAAGGAGGUGAGGCAAGUGUCUCUCUAGCUUCUGGGGUCAGAGUCCCUCGCCAGCCUAAGGGCCUUUAAGGACACAUGACAGUCCUUUUGGGAAUAAGACGACCAGAGCACACCACUUCAGCCAGCCUGUUAUCUCCUAGGAAAUUGUGGGCAAACAACCAGUCCAGGAAAGUUAGCCUCCAGGGUUCCUGCUGGUAAAUGGGAGCAGCAAGGCCAAGGGCUUGUCAGUUGAGAGUUGAGAGUGCUUGGCUGUGCAGAUUCCACAGUGCUUAACUGAAAACAGUCAGAAGUAUCUGACUUUUCUGAAACACUGCAUUAACUUGCCCCCUAGGUCCACUAUGUAGUGGUCAAAGGGCUCUACUGUCCAAAUCACAAGUUGAGAUAGUAUGGCCUCAGUCAGUUAGUUGUUCAGACGUGUUACAGUCUGACAGUGUGGAUUUUCUUACUGAUUUAGACACUGACAGCUCUGGGAAGAAACAUGCUGUGUCCUUUGGACCAUCAGAUGCUGUCAGCCUGGGACAACCAGAAGUAGUGAGAUGCAGGAUGUCAGAGGACCUUCAGACACUUUGUACUCUAGAUAGGGAAACAUGUGCGUUCUGUUGAGUAGAGCUCUGUGGGGUCAGGCUAGUUGAGUGCUGAGGGUCUGGACCCUCACUACAGUUCACUGUAAGUAGACCGAAAGUUUGAAAUUAUGUGCUCUGGACAGCUUAAAGCCAUAGUUUGCGGAGACAGAUACUGAAGGGUAUUGUGACAGGCUUACCCUUCCCCCCCCCCCCCAUUCCCUCCGCUUUGCUAAAACUCAUUAGGUUACCUUUCCUAAAGCAAGCCAACAAGAUCUACUUCCUCAUACGGCCACUUCCUCCUCCUGAGACUGACUAGCAAGGUCCAGAUGUCAACCUACCAAACGAAGUCCAGCAAACAAAAGCCUACUUUGUCUGGCCUAAUUAAUUAAAUUGGGCAUUUGUCAUGCCCAAAUUGGAAUCAAACAUCCUGUAAAAAUGAAAAUUAAUAUAAAUGAAUGCAUUGAAUUAA